UUUAGGAUAAGCUUGACUUUUGUUCAAAUAAAAAUGCAAAAGGAAAGUGUAUCCUAAAAG
rnacentral:pre_miRNA from 1 species